AUUGAACGCUGGCGGAAUGCUUUACACAUGCAAGUCGAACGGUAGAGGGGGCAACCCCUUGAGAGUGGCGAACGGGUGAGUAAUAUAUCGGAACGUGCCCUGUCGUGGGGAUAACGUAGCGAAAGUUACGCUAAUACCGCAUACGAUCUAAGGAUGAAAGCGGGGGAUCGCAAGACCUCGCGCGAUUGGAGCGGCCGAUAUCAGAUUAGGUAGUUGGUGAGGUAAAGGCUCACCAAGCCAACGAUCUGUAGCUGGUCUGAGAGGACGACCAGCUACACUGGAACUGAGACACGGUCCAGACUCCUACGGGAGGCAGCAGUGGGGAAUUUUGGACAAUGGACGCAAGUCUGAUCCAGCCAUUCCGCGUGCAGGAUGAAGGCCCUCGGGUUGUAAACUGCUUUUGUACGGAACGAAAGGUUUUUCUAAUACGAGGAGCUCAUGACGGUACCGUAAGAAUAAGCACCGGCUAACUACGUGCCAGCAGCCGCGGUAAUGUGACU
rnacentral:rRNA from 1 species